UCAAUCCUGGAUAUGACUUGGAGCAGCCCAACCUUUGCAUGAAGGAUGCAAAACCAGAGGAUGGAAGAUCUUUUUUUCUUCCUUUCAAAUAAGCAAAUAAAUCUUAAAGGGUUACAAUGGAAAUAGUAGCUGUUUGGUGUAGGAUAAUUUCUCAAGACUUUCUGUACCCAUGAGAAUAACUCUGCAGUCCAACAGGAAUAACUGGCUCACGAGUCUGAAAGCACUGCCAAGCCGCAUACGCACACAUACCUGUCAGCAUGCUGCUUUUCAGAACUAACCUGCCUGGAUGGUAGCAAUCUGUGAGGAAACACUUUCAUAUAGUGCCAAAGCUUAGCUGCUCCCAGAAAAAUAGGGAAAUCUAUUCCAGGGCUCUGAAAUGCACCCUGUCUGCUGGAAUCCCUUGAUGGUGGCCAUUGGGAGCAUUGCUUUGAUGAGUCAAGGAAGCACAGACCCCACCAUCCUCCAUAUCACCUCCCAUAUUUUCUCUCCCAUUUUCCAUAGUAGCCAAAUUAUUUCCAAACAUUGUCUGGACUUUCCUGAUAUUAUCAGGAAAAGAUAGAAGAAAUUACUCAG